rnacentral:rRNA from 1 species
UACGGGGGGAGCAAGCGUUGUUCGGAUUUACUGGGCGUAAAGGGCGCGUAGGCGGCGUGACAAGUCACUUGUGAAAUCUCCGGGCUUAACUCGGAACGGUCAAGUGAUACUGUCGUGCUAGAGUACAGAAGGGGCAACUGGAAUUCUUGGUGUAGCGGUGAAAUGCGUAGAUAUCGAGAGGAACACCUGCGGCGAAGGCGGGUUGCUGGGCUGAUACUGACGCUGAGGCGCGAAAGCUAGGGGAGCGAACGGG